rnacentral:rRNA from 1 species
UACGUAGGAGACGAGCGUUGUCCGGAAUUACUGGGCGUAAAGCGCGUGUAGGCGGAUGAGCAAGUCUGCUGUGAAAGCUCCUGGCUUAACCGGGAGUGGUCGGUGGAAACUGCUCGUCUGGAGGACGGUAGAGGUAGGUAGAAUUCCCGGUGUAGUGGUGGAAUGCGUAGAGAUCGGGAGGAAUACCUGUGGCGAAGGCGGCCUACUGGGCCGGACCUGACGCUGAGACGCGAAGGCGUGGGGAGCGAACGGG